GCGGCCAGAGCCCAAGAUGGUAAUCUCCGUGCUGCGCACGGCGAAUUGUAAUCUAGAGAGGCUAUGCUCACCGGGUGGUGGCGCAGAAGUGCCCUGGAACGGGCCGCCAGAGAGGGUGACAGCCCCGUACGUGGUGCCGCCGCCUAACGAGCAGGUCUUCAAAGAGUCGGGUUGUUUUGUAUUGCAGCCCUAAGUGGGAGAUAAACUUCUUCUAAGGCUAAAUAUAUGUGGGAAACCGAUAGCGAACAAGUACUGUGAAGGAAAGAUGAAAAGCACUUUGGAAAGAGAGUCAAAAGACCUGAAACCGUUGAGGAGGAAGCGGUAGAGAUGAAUUCUACGGCGAGGCGCUGGGAAGCCGGCCCAACCAUGGCAGGCAGGUCGUACGUCAAAGGCGGCAGUCUGUCCAAGGGGAAGCCGGUGACUAGCGCGGCGUUGUGAGGCCGGAUGGGGUGACGUGAUCACAGAGGCCUGCCGGGCCUGGCUUGACUCGUCGAGCAGCCCGGGAGUGCCGGUGGCCGCGUGGCCUGAGGGUGCUUUGUGCGAUCCGGUCAAAAUGGUCUUUACCGACCCGUCUUGAAACACGGACCAAGGAGUCUAACGUACGCGCGAGUGUGCCGGUGGAGAAACCGACACGCGUAAUGAAGGUGAGUGAUGCCAAGCGCAAGCAGCAGCAUCGACCGACCAUGAUCCUCUGGAGAAAGGUUUGAGUACGAGCGUGUCCGCUAGGACCCGAAAGAUGGUGAACUAUGCCUGCGUAGGGUGAAGCCAGGG
rnacentral:rRNA from 1 species